UCAACUCCUGCAUCUAGGUCAUCUAGGUCCC
rnacentral:piRNA from 1 species